rnacentral:rRNA from 1 species
UACGUAGGGUGCGAGCGUUAAUCGGAAUUACUGGGCGUAAAGGGUGCGCAGGCGGUUUUGUAAGCCAGAUGUGAAAUCCCCGGGCUUAACCUGGGAAUGGCAUUUGGGACUGCAAGGCUGGAGUGUGGCAGAGGAGACUGGAAUUCCUGGUGUAGCAGUGAAAUGCGUAGAUAUCAGGAGGAAUACCGAUGGCGAAGGCAGGUCUCUGGGCUGACACUGACGCUCAUGCACGAAAGCGUGGGGAGCAAACAGG